CUUACAUCAGAUUCCCUGGUGUACGAAUUUUUAAGUGCUUCUUGCGCAAGCAAGUUUUCUCCCGGUUGCUGCUGCAACCGGGAGUU
rnacentral:other from 2 species